AUUGAACGCUGGCGGCAUGCCUUACACAUGCAAGUCGAACGGCAGCACGGGAGCAAUCCUGGUGGCGAGUGGCGAACGGGUGAGUAAUAUAUCGAAACGUGCCCAGUCGUGGGGGAUAACGUAAAGAAAUUUACCCUAAUACCGCAUACAAUCCAAGGAUGAAAGCGGGGGACUCGCAAGACCCUCGCGCGAUUGGAGCGGCUGAUAUCAAAUUAGGUUGUUGGUGAGGUAAAAGCUCACCAAGCCAACAAUCUGUAGCUGGUUUGAAAAAACGACCAGCCACACUGGGACUGAAACACGGCCCAAACUCCUACGGGAGGCAGCAGUGGGGAAUUUUGGACAAUGGGCGAAAGCCUGAUCCAGCAAUGCCGCGUGCAGGAAGAAGGCCUUCGGGUUGUAAACUGCUUUUGUACGGAACGAAAAGGUCUGCCCUAAUACGGCGGGCCCAUGACGGUACCGUAAAAAUAAGCACCGGCUAACUACGUG
rnacentral:rRNA from 1 species